UACGUAGGGUGCAGGCGUUAAUCGGAAUUACUGGGCGUAAAGCGUGCGCAGGCGGUUUGCUAAGAGAGAUGUGAAAUCCCCGGGCUUAACCUGGGAACUGCGUUUCUAACUGGCAGGCUUGAGUGUGGCAGAGGGGGGUGGAAUUCCACGUGUAGCAGUGAAAUGCGUAGAGAUGUGGAGGAACACCGAUGGCGAAGGCAGCCCCCUGGGCUAACACUGACGCUCAUGCACGAAAACGUGGGGAGCAAACAGG
rnacentral:rRNA from 1 species